rnacentral:snoRNA from 15 species
AAAGCUCUUUUAUGUAGUGUGCGUACCACGAAAGUAGCAGGUACUGCGACACGAAACUGGAGAGCGAGACUC